UGGGGAAUAUUGCACAAUGGGCGCAAGCCUGAUGCAGCCAUGCCGCGUGUGUGAAGAAGGCCUUCGGGUUGUAAAGCACUUUCAGCGGGGAGGAAGGCGAUAAGGUUAAUAACCUUGUCGAUUGACGUUACCCGCAGAAGAAGCACCGGCUAACUCCGUGCCAGCAGCCGCGGUAAUACGGAGGGUGCAAGCGUUAAUCGGAAUUACUGGGCGUAAAGCGCACGCAGGCGGUCUGUCAAGUCGGAUGUGAAAUCCCCGGGCUCAACCUGGGAACUGCAUUCGAAACUGGCAGGCUAGAGUCUUGUAGAGGGGGGUAGAAUUCCAGGUGUAGCGGUGAAAUGCGUAGAGAUCUGGAGGACUACCGGUGGCGAAGGCGGCCCCCUGGACAAAGACUGACGCUCAGGUGCGAAAGCGUGGGGAGCAAACAGG
rnacentral:rRNA from 1 species